rnacentral:tRNA from 1 species
UGGAGAGUUGUCCGAGUUGGCCGAAGGAGCACGCCUGGAAAGUGUGUAGGCGCCAUAAGCGUCUCGAGGGUUCGAAUCCUUCACUCUCCGU